ensembl:miRNA MIR4775 microRNA 4775
AUUAAGCUUUUAAUUUUUUGUUUCGGUCACUCUUGAUAGCAGACAUUGACUGAAACAAAAAAUUAAAAGCUUUAU